AGGUUUUAUUUACUGUCAAGUGUCCUUUAAUUUUCUCAUGAAGAACUCUCUCUAGUAUUUCUUAUAAGAGUUCUUGGGGACAGACUGCUUGGGUUUAAAUGCCAUCUCUACCACUUAUUUAGCUGUGUGACUUUGGAUAUUAACCAAAUCUACCUUUCCUAAAGGUCAGGCCUCCCUGGCUGGCCAGCCCUCUGGUCACAUCAGAAGACCCACAACUCUCUCACACUCUAUUCCAUAUCCUAGUUGGAUACAGGUUGAAUAAAAAUGUGCUUUCUGGCCCUCACACUUAGUUUAUGUGAGUGAAUGCUGAUGGAAAUGGGGAGAAACAAAUCUACUACAGCAAUGAAUGAACCUCCCAGCACCAUUAAAUGAGGAGGAGAAUGCUUGUGAGACAGAAGACUGCAGGAUCUGGGUUCAAUGUCCCCAAACCCACGUAAUUUUCCAGCAUCAGGAGCAACUGAUAAGGAACUGUACUCAUUGGAGCACAAGUACAAGGCCAUUUGCAAAUGAUUUUAGAGUGAAUAAUGAGGAAGGAAGGACAAGGCUAUUCUCUUAGGUAUCAAAUGUCUUAACUUUCUUGUUAACAAUGAUAGCACUUGGAGGCUCUAGCAGGAUGAGGGAAGAGAGGAAAGGCAGCAUGGUUUAGUGGGCUGUAAGAAUCUUUUCUUUCAGAGUAGCUAUGCCAGGUUAUGUGUUUUUUA